rnacentral:rRNA from 1 species
AUGAACGCUAGCGGGAGGCCUAACACAUGCAAGCCGAGCGGUAGAGAUCUUUCGGGAUCUUGAGAGCGGCGUACGGGUGCGGAACACGUGUGCAACCUGCCUUUAUCUGGGAGAUAGCCUUUCGAAAGGAAGAUUAAUACCCCAUAAUAUAUGAUUCGGCACCGGAUUCUAUUGAAAGCUCCGGCGGAUAGAGAUGGGCACGCGCAAGAUUAGAUAGUUGGUGAGGUAACGGCUCACCAAGUCAGUGAUCUUUAGGGGGCCUGAGAGGGUGCUCCCCCACACUGGUACUGAGACACGGACCAGACUACUACGGGAGGCAGCAGUGAGGAAUAUUGGACAAUGGGUGAAAGCCUGAUCCAGCCAUCCCGCGUGAAGGACGACGGCCCUAUGGGUUGUAAACUUCUUUUGUAUAGGGAUAAACCUACCCUCGUGAGGGUAGCUGAAGGUACUAUACGAAUAAGCACCGGCUAACUCCGUGCCAGCAGCCGCGGUAA